rnacentral:rRNA from 1 species
GAGUUUGAUCAUGGCUCAGGAUGAACGCUGGCGGCGUGCCUAACACAUGCAAGUCGAACGCUCGCAAGAGAGUGGCGCACGGGUGAGUAACACGUAGCUUAUCUGCCCUCAAGACAGGGAUAACAAUAGGAAACUAUUGCUAAUACCUGAUAAGCUUACGAGCUAUAGAGGCUCAUAAGAAAAGAUUUAUCGCUUGAGGAUGAGGCUGCGAGCCAUCAGCUAGUUGGUGAGGUAAAGGCUCACCAAGGCGACGACGGCUAGGGGGACCCUGACGAGGGUGACCCCCCACACUGGGACUGAGACACGGGCCCAGACUCCUACGGGAGGCAGCAGUGAGGAAUAUUGCUCAAUGGGCGCAAGCCUGAAGCAGCGACGCCGCGUGGAUGAAGAAGGUUUUCGGACUGUAAAAUCCUUUUCUGUGUGACGAGAGUGGACGGUAGCACAGGAAUAAGUCUCGGCUAACUACGUG